rnacentral:rRNA from 1 species
AUAAUACCUGGUAGUCCACGCCGUAAACGAUGAGUGCUAAGUGUUAGAGGGUUUCCGCCCUUUAGUGCUGCAGCUAACGCAUUAAGCACUCCGCCUGGGGAGUACGGCCGCAAGGCUGAAACUCAAAGGAAUUGACGGGGGCCCGCACAAGCGGUGGAGCAUGUGGUUUAAUUCGAAGCAACGCGAAGAACCUUACCAGGUCUUGACAUCCUCUGCCAACCCUAGAGAUAGGGCGUUCCCCUUCGGGGGACAGAGUGACAGGUGGUGCAUGGUUGUCGUCAGCUCGUGUCGUGAGAUGUUGGGUUAAGUCCCGCAACGAGCGCAACCCUUGAUCUUAGUUGCCAGCAUUCAGUUGGGCACUCUAAGGUGACUGCCGGUGACAAACCGGAGGAAGGUGGGGAUGACGUCAAAUCAUCAUGCCCCUUAUGACCUGGGCUACACACGUGCUACAAUGGAUGGUACAAAGAGCUGCGAACCCGCGAGGGUAAGCGAAUCUCAUAAAGCCAUUCUCAGUUCGGAUUGUAGG